GAUGAACGCUGACGGCGUGCCUAAUACAUGCAAGUCGAGCGAACGGACGAGAAGCUUGCUUCUCUGAUGUUAGCGGCGGACGGGUGAGUAACACGUGGAUAACCUACCUAUAAGACUGGGAUAACUUCGGGAAACCGGAGCUAAUACCGGAUAAUAUUUUGAACCGCAUGGUUCAAAAGUGAAAGACGGUCUUGCUGUCACUUAUAGAUGGAUCCGCGCUGCAUUAGCUAGUUGGUAAGGUAACGGCUUACCAAGGCAACGAUGCGUAGCCGACCUGAGAGGGUGAUCGGCCACACUGGAACUGAGACACGGUCCAGACUCCUACGGGAGGCAGCAGUAGGGAAUCUUCCGCAAUGGGCGAAAGCCUGACGGAGCAACGCCGCGUGAGUGAUGAAGGUCUUCGGAUCGUAAAACUCUGUUAUUAGGGAAGAACAUAUGUGUAAGUAACUGUGCACAUCUUGACGGUACCUAAUCAGAAAGCCACGGCUAACUACGU
rnacentral:rRNA from 1 species